CUUUGGUCACAUGCAUUUCCCAUGCUGAAUUUAAGAUACAAGAUUCAUCUUAUUAAUUUCAAGGGCAAUUAAAAAAUGUAGCUCCUUAAUUAUAUAAAAGGUAUACCUGGAGAGCUCCCAUUUCUUCCUCUCUUCUGUGCAACUUCUCUAGUAGCUCUCUCUUUUCUUUGUGAACUUCUUCCAAAAGUUGUUCUUGCUUUUUUAUCUGUUUGAAGAGAGACUGAUGUUCAGACUCCUUCAGCUGUGUAAAGUGCUUGAGAUGUUGUUGGCUCUGCAGCAAGUAGCGUCGCAGCUUUUUUUCCUUAUUUUCUCUCUCUUUCACCUCCUC
rnacentral:lncRNA from 1 species